rnacentral:miRNA from 1 species
UUGAGAAUUUGUGGGCGGUAA